rnacentral:snRNA from 1 species
AUGCUUCGGCAGCAUAUAUACUAAAAUUGGAAUGAUACAGAGAAGAUUAGCAUGGCCCCUGCACAAGGAUGACAGGCAAAUUCAUGAAGCAUUCCAUAUUUUU